UGAGGAAUAUUGGUCAAUGGGCGGAAGCCUGAACCAGCCAAGUCGCGUGAGGGAAGACGGCCCUAAGGGUUGUAAACCUCUUUUGCCGGGGAGCAAAAGCGCCGUGCGCGGUGCUAUGAGAGUACCCGGAGAAAAAGCAUCGGCUAACUCCGUGCCAGCAGCCGCGGUAAUACGGAGGAUGCGAGCGUUAUCCGGAUUUAUUGGGUUUAAAGGGAGCGUAGGCCGUCGUUUAAGCGUGUUGUGAAAUGCCGCGGCUCAACCGUGGCACUGCAGCGCGAACUGGAUGACUUGAGUUCGCGGGAGGUAGGCGGAAUUCGUGGUGUAGCGGUGAAAUGCUUAGAUAUCACGAAGAACUCCGAUUGCGAAGGCAGCUUACCGUAGCGUUACUGACGCUGAAGCUCGAAAGUGCGGGUAUCGAACAGGAUUAGAUACCCUGGUAGU
rnacentral:rRNA from 1 species